rnacentral:rRNA from 1 species
GAACGGUGAGAGAGCUUGCUCUGUGGAUCAGUGGCGAACGGGUGAGUAACACGUGAGCAACCUGCCCCUGACUCUGGGAUAAGCGCUGGAAACGGCGUCUAAUACUGGAUAUGUGACGUGACCGCAUGGUCUGCGUCUGGAAAGAAUUUCGGUUGGGGAUGGGCUCGCGGCCUAUCAGCUUGUUGGUGAGGUAAUGGCUCACCAAGGCGUCGACGGGUAGCCGGCCUGAGAGGGUGACCGGCCACACUGGGACUGAGACACGGCCCAGACUCCUACGGGAGGCAGCAGUGGGGAAUAUUGCACAAUGGGCGGAAGCCUGAUGCAGCAACGCCGCGUGAGGGAUGACGGCCUUCGGGUUGUAAACCUCUUUUAGCAGGGAAGAAGCGAAAGUGACGGUACCUGCAGAAAAAGCGCCGGCUAACUACGUGCCAGCAGCCGCGGUAAUACGUAGGGCGCAAGCGUUAUCCGGAAUUAUUGGGCGUAAAGAGCUCGUAGGCGGUUUGUCGCGUCUGCUGUGAAAUCCGGAGGCUCAACCUCCGGCCUGCAGUGGGUACGGGCAGACUAGAGUGCGGUAGGGGAGAUUGGAAUUCCUGGUGUAGCGGUGGAAUGCGCAGAUAUCAGGAGGAACACCGAUGGCGAAGGCAGAUCUCUGGGCCGUAACUGACGCUGAGGAGCGAAAGGGUGGGGAGCAAACAGCUUAGAUACCCUGGUAGUCCACCCCGUAAACGUUGGGAACUAGUUGUGGGGUCCAUUCCACGGAUUCCGUGACGCAGCUACGCAUUAAGUUCCCCGCCUGGGGAGUACGGCGCAGGCUAAACUCAAGGAAUGACGGGACCGCACAGCGGCGGAG